AUUUAGUUUUAUUCUAGCUAUUUUAUUUAGUUAUAUUCUAUGAAUUAUAUGGGUUAUAGUUUAAAUAUUUUUAUUCCAAUUUUUAGUAUUAUAGUUUAUAAGUUUUUAUUAAUUAGCAAUUGAUUUUUUUAUAAAAUAGAUUAAUAUUUGUGCCAGCAUUCGCGGUUACACAAUUUAUUUAAAUUAAUUUUUUAAGUUAUUAAUUUUUUAUUUUAAUAAUGGAAACAUAAUUUUUAUAUUUAAGUGGAAUUUAUAUUUUUAAUUAUAUUUCUUAAAAAAUUUUAAAAAGUUAAUUUAUUAAACUAGGAUUAGAUACCCUAUUAUAAUUAAUGUCAUUUUAACUUGAAUAUUAUUAGUUAUGUUCUUUAAAGCUCAAAGAAUUUGGCGGUAAAAUAUUUUUUUAGAGGAAUCUGUAAAAUAAUUGAUAAACCACGAUAAUUUAUACUUUAAUUGUAUUUGUAUACCGCUAUACUUAAUGAAUGUUUUGAUAAAAAAUUUUCUUUAACUUUUUAGAUAUAAAUUAGGUCAAGGUGCAGUUUUAUUAAAGUUAUUAUGGAUUACUUUAAUUAUAAACUAAUUAGAUAAAUUUCUAAUAGGUAAUUUUGAAUUAGGAUUUAAAAGUAAAAUUAAUUAAUUAGUUAUUUUGAAUUUUAAUCUAUUUUAUGUACAUAUCGCCCGUCACUCCUAAUUUAAGUUAGGAUAAGUCGUAACAAAGUAAUUUUACCGGAAGGUGAAGUUAGAAUGAAAAAUUCUUAUUA
rnacentral:ncRNA from 1 species